rnacentral:misc_RNA from 1 species
AUAAGUUCGUUCCCUCUUUUUUCCGCUGCUUUAAACUCUUUACCCUCGCCUCUCGAUUUCUUUCUCCUCCCAAUCAAAACCGAUUACUCUUGCAUUCUCUUCUGUACUAGCAGUGCGGUUGUUAUCCCUGUGAAGAACUGCCGUUGCCCGAAUCGAGUUAGCUGCAAGAUGUAGUUAGCUGCAAGAUGAGGAAGAAGGUUGAUGCUCGCAUAAGGACUUUGAUUGAAAAUGGAGUAAAGGCUAGGCAUCGAUCAAUGUUUGUUAUUAUUGGCGAUAAGUCACGUGAUCAGAUUGUAAAUCUCAACUAUAUGUUGAACAAGGCUAUGAUCAGAUCUAGGUCCAGUGUUUUGUGGUGCUAUAAAGAAAAAUUAGAACUGAGCAGCCACAAGAAAAAACGUGCAAAGCAGAUUAAGAAGCUAAUGCAAAGGGGACUCCUUGAUCCUGAAAAGGUUGACCCUUUCUCUUUGUUCAUUGAAAGUGGAGUGGUUUCUUAUUGCUUAUAUAGGGAUUUGGAGAGAAUACUGGGUAAUACAUAUGGCAUGUGUAUUUUACAGGAUUUUGAAGCAUUGACACCAAAUAUUCUUGCAAGGACUAUUGAAACUGUGGAAGGUGGUGGUUUGGUGGUUUUGCUUCUUCGUACACUCUCUUCACUUGCUAGUCUAUGCACAAUGGUCAUGGAUGUUCAUGAAAGGUUUAGAACGGAAUCGCAUCCUGAAGUAGUUUCUCGGUUCAAUGAACGGUUUCUGUUGUCUCUUGCAUCAUGUAAGGCAUGCUUGGUCAUGGAUGACGAGCUUAACGUUUUGCCAAUCUCAUCACACAUAAAGUCUGUCAUUAGGCCAUCUAUCUCUGAGGGUUAUGAUUCUACGGGAACACAAGAAGAACUAAUGAAUUUGAAGGAACAACUUCAUGAUGUUUUACCCAUCGGGCCUUUACUUGGAAUAUGUACAACACUGGAUCAGGCAAAAUCUGUUUCCGCCCUCCUUGAUGCCACUUUGGAUAAAACAUUUCGGAGCACUAUUGCACUGAUUGCUUCUCGUGGACGAGGCAAAUCUGCAGCUUUGGGUUUGGGAAUUGCAGGAGCUAUAGCUGCAGGGUAUUCACAUAUUUUUGUUACUGCUCCUUCCCCAGAAAACUUGAAAUCACUAUUUGGCUUCAUUUGUAGGGGACUGCAUGCGUUGAAUUAUGAGGAGCAUUUGAACUAUGAUUUGGUGAGAAGUACAAAUCCUGAGCUCGGGAAGGCAAUUAUACAAGUACAUGUUUACAAGGAACAUAAGCAAAUAGUUCAGUACAUUGAGCCCCAUGAUCGUGUAAAGCUCUCCCAAGUGGAACUUCUAGUUAUUGAUGAAGCAGCAGCUAUUCCAUUGCCUAUUAUCAAGUCAUUGCUGGGGCAAUAUCUGGUCUUUAUAUCAUCCACGGUGAAUGGAUAUGAAGGCACAGGUCGCUCUUUGUCAUUGAAGCUUUUUAGUCAUUUAGAAAAGCAAAGUCAGAAUCUUGCUUGUGGUGCCAAUUCCAAUUACUCUGGAAACCUAUUCCAGAAAAUAGAAUUAAAGGAGCCCAUCAGAUAUGCAUCUGGGGAUCCUAUUGAGUCUUGGCUUAACAGCUUACUGUGCUUGGAUGCUAUGCAUUUUGUACCUCCUAUCAGCAGGUUCCCUCAUCCUUCUGAAUGCAAUUUGUAUUAUGUAAAUCGAGAUACUUUGUUCUCCUUCCACAAAGAUAGUGAAAUAUUUCUACAGCGAAUGGUGGCUCUUUAUGUUUCCUCUCACUACAAAAACUCUCCUAAUGAUCUACAAUUAAUGGCUGAUGCUCCGGCACACCAUCUAUUUGUAUUGCUUGGACCUGUUGACGAGGCACUAAAUAUUCUUCCAGACAUUUUGUGUGUUAUCCAAGUGUGCCUUGAAGGAAAGAUUUCAUGUAAAUCUGCACAGCAAAGCUUGCAAAUGGGGCACCUGCCCUCUGGUGAUCAAAUUCCAUGGAAGUUUUGUGAAGAGUUUGAGAAUACAGAUUUUCCAAACCUCUCGGGUGUUCGAAUUGUCAGAAUAGCAGUUCACCCCAGUGCUCUAGGGCAUGGAUACGGUUCGGCUACCCUGAAUCUUCUAACAAGAUACUACGAGGGAAGGUUGACUGCUACUGAUGAGACAAAUGUUGAAAAGAAUGUAAUGAGGCCUCAUGACAACUUCAUUCAAGCAGCAAAGAAGGUCUCAUUGCUAGAAGAAACUAUUUCUCCUAGAGAAAACCUUCCACCAUUGCUGAUACAUCCUUGUGAAAGAUUACCUGAGAGAGUCCAUUACAUUGGUGCUUCUUUUGGGCUAAACAGGGACCUUUUUUGUUUCUGGAAGAAACACAAAUUUACCCCUUUUUACAUAUGUGAUAAUCCAAAUAACACAACUGGUGAGCAUAGUUGCAUGGUGCUGAAGGCAUUGGAGACUGAUGAUGUUGAAGUUGGUGGUUUGGGUUCCCUUGACUUUCUUACUCCAUUCUAUCAGUGUUUCAAGAGAAAGUUUGUGAAACGCCUUCCUUUAUGCUUUCAAGAGUUGGAUUUUAAGCUUUGUAUCAGCAUCUUGGAUCCAAAGAUCAACUUCUCUGAAAUUGAGACGUCAUUAUGUUCAGAAAAAGAAGCGUCUACUUUGGUGAAAUUGAUUUGCUCUCCUAAUGAAUUGAAAUUACUGGAGUCUUACGCUAACAACCGUAAAGAUUAUGGGAAGGUCAAGCAUCUUGUGCCACUCUUUGCCUAUUACUACUUUGAAGAGAAGCUUCCAAUUACACUGUCCCAUCUCGAAGCGUCUCUUUUGUUGUGCAUGGGCUUGCAGCUUCACAGUAUAACUUACAUCGAGGAAAAAAUGAAGAUAGAAAGGCAACAAGUCCUGCAUUUGUUUCGUAGGGUUAUGGUGAAAUUUUACAAGUAUUUUUAUGAUGUUCUAACCAAAGAGUUGGAUAUACCUCAAGAAACAAUGGUUGCAUUGGAGCCGCAUAGUGUGUCACUUGAUGAGGAUUUAAAUGAUGGUGCUCAGCAAGUGAUGGUAAAUGUUCAAUGUUCUCAAAAGUGAACUUAUCACCAUGUUAAUCGGACUGAGAUUUCUAUGAUGGAUGCAGGAGAAGAUGAGAACGGAAAAUGUGGAUCUGCUGAAACCAGAGUCGCUGCAGCAAUACUCUGUUGAGGAUAGAGAAGGUGAACUUGAGCAAGCUCUUAAAAAAUGUAAUAAGAUAUCAUCUCCUAGUGGCCUUUUUAGUGUGAAGUCCAAUCGAAAAUUAUCUACAAAAAGCAAAAGGCCUGAAAAUAUUCUUAAAAGUCGAAAGAGGAAAAAGUACAAGGACUUUGCUCCUCUUAUCCAGAAGCAGUCGAACUAGAUUGUGGAAGACCAUUUCAUCUGCAUCUCUCAUGGUUUUUGGGUUUUGGGAGUUAGUAUUAGUACAAGAGGAGGGUUUUAACUUAAAAAUUUUGUUUAUGGAUGAUCUAAUUUAUUUUAUUGUUUUGGUACUAAUUCAUGGUGUAAUAUAUUAGCUUAUAGCUUACUGUUAUUUUCCUACAAUUUUCUUUGCAUGAGUAUCACUAUUAACUGAUGAAAAUCACCAGAGACUGCCAGUCCGUAUGAAAAGAUCAAUUGUCCAAGUUUGAAAAUUACAACGAACAGAACAAAAGAAAAAAAAUGUAACAUCAAAAACCAAAGCGGCCAGAUUUAUGUGAAUC